CAGGUGAUGGCAGGCAGGUGCUAGUGCUGCUUCUGAUGGCAGGAUGAACAGUGGUACAGCAGCAGGGCAGGCAGGAGAGACGUCACAGGGAGAAGGGUGAGCAGGCCGGGAAGGACGUCACAGGUAGUGGAGACGUCACAGGCAGAAGGGUGAGCAGGCCGGGAAGACGACACAGGUAGUGGAGACGUCACAGGCAGAAGGGCGAGCAGGCCGGGAAGGACGUCACAGGUAGUGGAGACGUCACAGGCAGAAGGGUGAGCAGGCCGGGAAGGACGUCACAGGUAGUGGAGACGUCACAGGCAGAAGGGCGAGCAGGCCGGGAAGGACGUCACAGGUAGUGGAGACGUCACAGGCAGAAGGGCGAGCAGGCCGGGAAGGACGUCACAGGUAGUGGAGACGUCACAGGCAGAAGGGC